GACAGAGGGUGCAAACGUUGUUCGGAAUUACUGGGCGUAAAGCGAGUGUAGGCGGUUUGGUAAGUCGGAUGUGAAAGCCCCGGGCUCAACCCGGGAAGUGCACUCGAUACUGCCAAGCUAGAGUAUCGGAGAGGUUGGUGGAAUUCUCGGUGUAGAGGUGAAAUUCGUAGAUAUUGGGAAGAACACCGGUGGCGAAGGCGGCGCUCUGGACCGAGACUGACGCUGAGGCGCGAAAGCGUGGGGAGCAAACAGG
rnacentral:rRNA from 1 species